UAAAAGCCAAAAUAUAAAUUAUAUAAUACUCGAUGUGAAUUUAUAACUUGAUUAAACUGUAACAGUUUGUCAGCAUGUUAAUCUAUAUUUCAAGAUAUCAGUUUGCUUCUAGUCAGUUUAUUUGAUCCAGACAUAUUGCCUUUUAAUUUUUUGACAAAACUGUUUAUGUUUUAGCACUAAUUUCACAGAUCUUAUAUGAGCUAGUAACAUUUAUAGCAGCUCAAAUAAAAAAUAACCAAGUGACUGGACAGACGGGAGUUAUUUCGUAUUUUGUAGCAAUAUAAAAACUUUUGUUUGCGGUAAUCUUCACCAAGUUUGUCGUUAGCUCAAGCGGUAAAGGCGCUGCGUACCGAAAGUGAAACGCAGUCGGGUCGGGAUCGAUGCCGAACAUUAUCUGAUUUAGCUCUUUUUCUCAAUUUUUUGUAAUUUUUUUCUUCCUUCCUUUUUUAACUCUUAAAAGUUAGGCCGGUUAGUGUUUGGGAUCGGUAUAAAAUCUAAAGUGCUUUAAAAAAGUCUUAAUCUUUUUUUAUCUGGUUGAAAAUGUUUGAAUAUUGAGUUGCGAACUCAACCGCUGGUAAUUCUAAUUGUGAUCGCGGGCACUGACAAAGAACGCCCGGGACCAGAGCGUAUGAUGCCAAUGACGCGGUCUGUGCGCAUCUGACACUGUAAAUUUGUGAUAUAGAUUAUAGUAUGUUAACACAAUAUGAUUAAUAGAGAACAAAAAAAGGCUAAAGUAUUACUAUAACUAGGAGUUACUAUCGCAAGGAAAAUGCUGCCGAUAUGUACAUGUAGGAUGUGCUACAAAAAGAGCGUUUUUCACUGUAUGUAUGAUUUAUUGUCUUACACAUCGUCGUUCCUCAGUUACCUUCGUACAAUUAUAUCUUACGUCUAAUCUUAUGAAAAGUAUAUUUUAAUAUACUUAACAGUGCG